CGUGAAAGCUACACUGAAAAAAAAAAUCAUGGUAUUCUGAAAUAAAUAAAAAUGUUUAAUUCUACCAUACGUUGAUAUUGUCGAUAUAAACAAAGUUCUGGUGAAUUUUACGACUUUUUGGUUAAUUUUACCAUGCGGGGCAGAAAAAAUAUGGUAAACUUAAAUGAAAAAAGAGGUUUAAUUUUACCAUGCGCGAAAUUUGUUGAUAUAAAUGAAGUUUUCGUUAUUUUGACGAUCUUUUGGUUAAUGCUACCAUGCGCGCCAAAAAAAAUGUGGUAAACCAUAAUAAAAUAAGAGGUUUAAUUUUACCAUGCGGAACGUUUUGUGCAUUUGGAUAAAGUUUUGGUUAUCGUGACUGUGACAAUACUCUGGUACAUUUUACCAUGGAUGUCAAUAGCCAAAAUGCUUUCAAUCAGUUGUAUCAUCUUGCACUUUUGUUUCCUCAUUGCCAUUAAAACGGCUUUGAAUUUUUAUUUAAUGUUGAAAACUUUGGAAUCAAUAUUGAUUAUGUGCUACGUGCUGCGAUCUUGAAGGUAAAGUGUUUUGGUGUGGGAUCAGUGACGAAGGAUAUCAAUUUUUAUUUAUCCACAGAAGGCCAUUACAAUCUGAAGUGCAUCAACGCAAGAACGCAUCAUCGAGUCAUCAACUACCGCUAAUUUCAACAGUUCAUUAAAUUUUCAAGAUGCACGGGGCGACGAUGAUUCACGAAGGCAAAAAUACAAUCUUUGGACAACGGCGGAACACCGGAGGCCAAAUGUCGAAGGAAUCUUUAUGCAGUUAGGUUUAUAGUUCCUGAUCAUUAACGCCGAACAAUAUUUAUGUGAAAAAAUAACGUGGAUAAUAACAGUGAUGGAUAAAUAAACCAACAUUUUUUAAA